ensembl:lncRNA
AUGGCAAAUGAAAAUAAUAGCGGUGCAGAGGAGAGCUCCGCUCAGUUGAGUCAGAGGGAAGAAAAUCUUAGGAAGGACCGAAACGGAGGGAGAGAGUCGGUCACUGAUGGACGAACAAUGCAGUAUUUGAGACAUUUUUCCAGUUAUCGUGGAAUCUUAGGGAGAGGAACUUCAACUCUCCCACCUUCUCUCCCUUCUCCAGGGAGAGGGGCCUCCUUCCACACUGGACCCAGACUCAAUCUGCUGCAGAGGGACAGAGUGACUAUGCUCUGCCCCUGUUUCACACUCACAGCGGAGGUAAAUGGUGUGAUCUGUGCGACGACUGAUGGACACGGAGCCAGGAUGAGAGACAGAGAGCACCGCAGUGGCGUGUGGAGGUCGGAACCAGCAUAUGCCAGCCAGUCAGCCUGUCCUCCCCACUGCCGAGUGAUGAGAGCAGGGAGCCGAGAGCCGCCCUGCCCAUGACGAGCUGCCAGCUGGCUGGGGAAGAGAACACAGUGGACUGACACUCUGCUGGGGGGUAACCUGCCAGGAGGAAGGGAAAGACAGCUGCGUGUGUGACUGGUGUGUGGGUGUGGUCAGUUAAGUAUGUGUGUGUGCGCGUGUAUGAAGGGAUACAGGCACUGCUCAGGGUGCGGUUGGUCUCCUGCAGGGGUCCAGAUGGAUGCAGGGAGGGGGGUGAGCUUGAUUCAAGGGUUUUUGGAGAGAGUGACAAGAGUGACAAAAUUUCUCUGGAGCUCAAACUGUGCUGUCGGCAUGUUCUCUCCUGGCCCGCCUUCUGCCCCCCACUGUCACCUGUUAACCCCCCACCCCUUUGCCCUGCUUAGGGAUUGGCUUUGAGAUGGGCACACACACUUAGUGGAACAGGCAUGAAGGCAUGGUAUGGUUUCAGAGGCUUUUUCUUAGUGUGAACUGGCCAACUAAAACUGGGCUGUUACAGUCAUUACUGCUGUAGGGACGCUCCUAAAUAAGGACCAAAAGCACUGAAGCACUGAAAAUGUCUCAUAUGACAUUCAUUAAUUUGCUGCAUCUUAACUUCAUUUUUUAUAAGUUGUUCAAGCUAAUUCUUUACAUUUUCGGGACAUAUCUAUUUAUAGAAAAUCAGGGAUGUAGGGAUGAUUUGAAAAAAGAGUGCCACAAUAUAAAAUACAUCAGGUUUGUUCAUGAAUAUUAAUUAUGUGACAUGACAUUUGCCUAGCAGACAUAAAUGAUUUGGUUGGUAAGGUAAGAAAGUAAUUCUUUAUUUGGCUUAUUAUAGGCUUUUGCUUAUCCACCCAGAUGUAUUUUUUUUCUAUGCGAUACAAUCAUGCAAAAUUAGUCUUUUUCCAUAAAGUUAUCUUUUUAUUUUAAAUUACUGCCUGUUCACAAACUGUCAUAAGAGUGUCCACAAUAAAGUCAAGUCAAGUCACCA